rnacentral:lncRNA from 1 species
CAAUUAGGCUCUCUCCCCAUUCCGGUGGCUUUAUGAGAGAAAAAGAGGACACACAUACUCACACAAGAAAAGUCUCUGUUACCCAGACUGGAGCAUAGUGGCAAUAAUGUAGACCACUACACCCUUGAACGCCUAGCCUCAAGCAAUUCUCACACCUGCCAAGUGACUGCCAAGUGACUGGGACUACAGGCAUGUGCCACCAUACCUGCUGAUUUUCAAAUUUUUUGCGGAGAUGGGGGUCUGGCCUCAUUCCUCGGUUCAAGACCAGAUGUUGAACUCCUGGUCUUCAGGGAUUCUCUUGCCUCUACUUUGCAGAGCAGUGGCACUAUGGGUGUUAGCCACCUCACCCAGGCUGAAGAGAGAUUAACCAUGUAAAGGAAUAAAGAUGAAG